rnacentral:sRNA from 1 species
GUAGACCACUUUAUGUUGGCAUAGUCAAGAAGGUAGUGCCAGUCCCCUUUACCCUGGCUGCCAGGCUUUGUCCAGGGAUCUGAAACCACUUUGCAGUCGACAUACUCGGAUACCAGCGCUCAGCCCACCUGUGAUUAUGGGUAUGGAACUUGGAACUCUGGGACAAAUAGAGGCUACGAGGGCUAUGGCUAUGGCUAUGGCUAUGGCCAGGAUAACACCACCAACUAUGGAAUUAACCAGCGCUUAGAUAUGGUGCCGCAUUUGGAGACAGACAUGAUGCAAGGAGGCGUGUACGGCUCAGGUGGAGAAAGAACAUCAUCCCCGAGUACGGCAUGUUCCAGGGCAUGCGAGGUGGGGGCGCCUUCCCAGGCGGCUCCCGCUUUGGUUUCGGGUUUGGCAAUGGCAUGAAGCAGAUGAGGCGGACCUGGAAGACCUGGACCACAGCCGACUUCCGGACCAAGAAGAAGAAGAGAAAGCAGGGCGGCAGUCCUGACGAGCCAGAUAGCAAAGCCACCCGCACGGACUGCUCGG